UACGGGGGGGGGCAAGCGUUGUUCGGAAUUACUGGGCGUAAAGGGCGCGUAGGCGGCUUUUCAAGUCGGGCGUGAAAGCUCCGGGCUUAACCCGGAAAUGUCGCUCGAUACUGUUGAGCUAGAGUGUGGAAGAGGCUACUGGAAUUCCGUGUGUAGCGGUGAAAUGCGUAGAUAUACGGAGGAACGACCAGCGGCCGAAGG
rnacentral:rRNA from 1 species